UUCAGUGCUGUAUUGUUGAGUUUUGUAUGAACUAAUCUAGCUUCACUAAGAAAAAAAAAAAGAAAGAAAAGAAAAGGAAGAAAGAAGAAAAAAAAAGAAAAAAAAAAGAACCACAGCUUUGGACAGAAGUCUAUAGCCAGUGCAUUUGAAACUCCCCUUGCACAAGGGCUGACUGUAGCUGGGGGAAGACAGUUUACUCAUUUGCUCUCUCCUUUCAUACAGUCAGCUGUUCCCUCUUCUCAGGUGUAGAUCACCUAUUAUCAUUUCACCUGUUUUGAUUCUCUGAUGAGCAAAGUCCCAGGACUUAUCAGCUGGGAUAGGCCUCAUUUACAAGACAACUCUGUUCAGUAUUUGGAAGAAAGAAAGCCUGACAGGUUUCUCCGGAAAAGUGGCCAUCCAUGGAAUGAAUGAAAUGUUCCCUUUCUAUUCCAGGGAUUGCAGUGGCAAAGCUAGGCUAGGUCUUGGAGGCUGGUGUAAGGCGAAGCGGGUGAAGGCAGGAGGCUGAUGGAGAGGCUGAGGGGAAGAAAAGCCGAAAUGGAUUCACAGUGCCUUGGAUGGAGGAUGAGAGGAGAAUUGCAAGCUCCUUCAACUCGUUCUGUCCGGUGAGAAGUGAUCAAGCUUGGGCUGACAAGAGGCUCAGGGAGCCCUCACGUUCUUUCGCUUUUUUACCUGCCAAUCAAACUGCUACAAGACAACACCCUGAUCUGGCAUGGACAUCACGGUCCAAGCCUGUAGCCCCAAAUCGGAUAAUCUCUGCAGCUGAUAACAAGCAAAAGAGAAGCCAGGCAACAGCCAUAUUAAAGAAGAAAACAAUCAACUCUGAGGAUGCUACCAUGAAAUUUUUAUUUUCUCUGGCAAAACAGAGUUCUUUCUGAGAGUUCAACUGUGGACUCAGUAUGUAAAUGUGGUCAUCAAGCAAGACGGAACUGCCAGAAGGGAAGAUUGUGAAAGUUUCUCUUUAAAAAAAAAAAAAAUUCCUUUACAGCAUUCCUUCUUUCUCUGGUACUUUACUCUUUCGCCUUUUUCCAGCACUGUUGAAAAUGACUGCAAAGCAACAUUGUGGGAAUACAGCCAAUUGCCCUUUGUAGUUGUUGAGGUGGUGUUUCAUCUGAGUCAUUUGUAAAAAGUAGAUUUUGAGCAGGGGUGAGAGUCAUUUUGGAAGAGGGGUGAGGGAGAGUUUGAAGAAGGGAAUAAGGGGGAGGGAACCAAGCAGUUUAUACACAUCUAUACUCUUUGUGUUUGAAGGCCUCUCAGUCUUGGCUUCUCACUAUGUUAAAUCCCUAUUAUAAAACUUAUCUUCACAAAGCCUAUUAUGGUAUUCUGAGAACAAAUUGGACCAUGAAUAACUUAGUUGGAAGUGUAGAUUAUUUUCUACUCAGGGAAAGUUAGAGAUGACAACAGCUUAACUAAAGAAUAGUGAUUAAUCUUAAAUAGAUGGAUUUCAAAGUUUCACUUUUGAUAAAGAGUACCUUUGAUAUUUCCUCUCUUUAGACUCAAGUUUCCACUUUCUUUGUGUUAAGAAAUUGUUCUAGUGAUUGCCCUGUCCACCCAAUGUAGCAUGGCUCUAACAGGCCAUUUGCAUACAAGUUGUUAAUAUGCCUAAAAGCUGACCAGAGACACUCUAUUUCCUGUUAGUUAAGGACAUUGUUCCAAAGUGAUGUCUGUGCACAGACAUCAAACCCACUGUCAGGAAUGAUAUCUUGCAUACAUGAAAAUUGCUCAAUUACACAACAUUUAUCAUUGAAGAACAUCUUACAUUUGUUUAAUGUCCUAGAACUUACAAAGAACUUCUUGGUUUAUAAUCCUUGUUUGAUCUUUAUUAUUUUGUAAAGGAUUUAUUUUUAUUUAUUUAUGCGUAAAAGAA